GUGUUUGAGGAACGAAGGGUGAGCUCAGUCCUCCUGGGAUCCUCCAGUCCAGAGCAGCUAACAGAGAACCUGGGUUCCAUACAGUUCCUUCCAAAAAUGACGUCUCAUGUGGUGUCGGACAUCGAUCGCAUACUGGGGAACAAGCCGUACAGUAAGAAGGAGUAUCGCUCCUAGACACCCAGGAGGAAGCCGAACCACUACUGUACAACCACUGUGGAUCCAGUUCCACCAACCACCUGGGCUCAGCCUCCAUGGGGUUUCAGCUCAGUCUAAUCCAGCCCAGUUCAGGCCUGCUCAGCUCAGCCCCAGCCUUCUUAGCCCAGUGUAACCAAGCUCAGUUCAGCCUAACCCUGCUAACCCUCUGCCUAGACCAGCUUUCAGCUCAGCUUACUCUAUCAGUAGAUUCUCUGACUCCUGAGUGUAUUAACCAUGUAGAUGAAUGCUUUCCCUCUCUGGUGUGCCUGGACUUUCUCUUCAUAAGCACAUUAUACAAAAAAACACAGAAGGGGGUUAAUACUUAGAAUAUACCGUAAGCUUCUUCUACAAUCCAUUUUGAAAACAAACUCCUCUCUCCAGCCAGUCUACUGUAUUUGACACUUGUUUGACCUUGCAAAGUAGAGCACCCUGGGACAUUGAGUUUCAGUGACAGGGGUUUGUUCUGUCUGCGAGGGGUAGACUGUGCAUGUUGUCGUCCCCCCUCUGGUCGUAUGAGGAACUGCUAUGGAAUAUCUUUAAUAGAUUCUCAGCGAGAGAGAUAUGGAAAAUCUCAAUUGCACACUCCUUGCAUCCUGUCUCCUCGCCUCCUUCUCAAAACCCAUUGGUGGAGAAGAUCAGAAGGGAGGGACCUCUGGGUUUCUCAUCCAAUAGGUUUUGAGGAGGAGGCAAAGAGUAUGCAAUUGAGAUUUUCCCCUUGACUUCCUCUCUCCUCACCUCUUUCUCAAAAUCGAUUGGAGGGGAAGGUCUUAGGGGAGCAAACUCUGACUUUCUCAUCCAAUUGGUUUUGAGAAGGAGGCGAGGAGAGGAUGCGAGGAGUCAAGAAAAGGCAACUGAGACUCCCAGUGACACCUGAGUGGGCAGGUGGUCUCCUGUGCUGUACUGUGUACUGUCUGUUUGCAGCCUGCCUCUGAAAUGAACCUGCAUCGUUGAUUGCUGAUGUGAAUCAGGGAUAGCACAAGCAACUCUGUGACACCACCUCCCACCAGACCAAUGUUACCUGCUAGUGUUGCUAGUUUCAGUGAUAAUGCGAAAGUUAGGUGAAGUAUUUAGAGAAAUUAUAAAAGGUAUAUAUUUAUUCUAUAAUAGUAUGUGAAAAUACAUUUCUUCUGCGUGUUUAAAUGUUUUGUCUUUCAAGGGUGUAUCUAUUAAACAUUAUGUGGAAAACCUUGUAACAUAAACAGAUCUCAAGCCCCCUUUUUUGCAGAUUAAAAUAAAGCAUUCUCAAAAUAAUCUAUAAAUAUUGUGUAAAUAGUUUUCCACUGUUUCUCCUCUGUCAGCAGCACCAUGCAUCCAUGGCUGUUUGGGCCUGAUACCAGUCCUCCUCCUCCGCCCCUGGGUUUUACCCAUUUAGCUUAGGCUACUUUUCUUUAAAAUAGACACAAGGUGGAUUUAACAUUUUAUAAAUAACUCAUUAUGGGAGGAAUGAACAAUGACUUGCUUGGCAGAUGGUUAAGUCCUACCACGGGAGCUGGCUGGCACCUCGCUAGGGCAGCAAGUAGCCUGGUGGUUAGAGUAUCGGGCCAGUAACUGAAAAGGGUGCUGGUUCAAACACCCAAGCCAUCAAGGUGAAACAUCUGACGAUCUACUCUUGAGCAAGGCACUUGACCUUAAUUUGAUGAUGGGGGGGAGGUCAUAGUAAUGGCUGGAAUGGUAUUGAACUCCAUGUGUUUGAUUUCACUCUAUUCCAGACAUUAUUAUAAGCCUUCCUCCCCUCAGCAACCUCCUGUCACACAGAUUUUGUUUAACCUUCAAUAUUUAGUGUUAAGUUUAUGAUAACGUCCAGCCUUCUCGCUUACAGAUGUUUACUGUAUGUGAUGGUUUGCUUCCGCUUAGGACUGGAAUCAAUCCGUAUCGCACAAAAUCUGUGUUAUAGCUCAAUUUAAAGGCAAUGUUACUGCAUUCAUGGAGACUGCAUUCACGGUAACCGCUGCAUGUCGGCGCAAUCUGAAUUUACCUAUACACUGCUCUUCCCCGAUACUUCAGCGAUAGGGAUUGAAUCCAGCACUAACAGAGAUCAAUAGUUAAUGAUAGAUGUUAGCUAGAUAUCAAUCUGAUGACUCUCUCCUAUACCUACAGUAGGAAGGUGGCCAGUGAUCAGAUUGGGACCAGGCCUUUCAGUGUGCAGUAAUCCACCCUGCAGAGCGCCUUGACAUGAGCCCUGCUAACAGAACACAGAUGCCCAGCCCCAACUGAAUCCCGUCACCCUCAUACAUUUAACGAAAGUAUUGAAUAGGUAUAGACAACGUUAUAAUAGGUCAGAUCUACUCAAGCGCACAGAGUAAAAGCUAAGAGUGGGUUUGAGAUCUCCUGAGUUGUCCGUGUGUGGCAAUGGUCUGGUGCCAUUCCCUUGACCCUAUCACCUAGCUCUGAAAGGUCGGUGUGAUCUCCGAACAUAUAAAGGGCUAGGGCAAGAAGCUAGUGGAUUAAAUGGAACUAGGCCGCCAGGAAUAUGUCACAUGAACUCCCCCAGUUCUGACAAUAUACACUACUGUGUUAAAAGAUACCAGACCGUUAUGUUUCCUACAGUAUUUAAAGGUACCAGACCGUUAUGUUUCCUACAGUAUUUAAAGGUACCAGACCGUUAUGUUUC